GUAUGGUUCAACUUCUGUAAAAAUCUGUCACCCCACUGAUUGUCAGGGUCAAUUCCACCCAUCUGGCUCACUAGAUGACUGUCCCCUUUUUUCCCUCAACACUCCAUAUACAACCUUUCCCAAUAUAAGGCCUGAUGCAAAACAGUAACCCUGCCCAUAGAGGAGGCCUUUUCUUGGGUCAAAGGUAUAUGAAUAAGUGCAUUCCCAAGCUAGGACCUCCAAACAAGCUCUCCAGAUCCACUUUCAGAACGGCGGGGGGGGGGGGGGGGGGGGGGGUGUCAAGCUUCCAGGACUCCAAACUCAUUCAAAUGAGGCCCUGUGUGAAGAAGUCUCUCUGA
rnacentral:snRNA from 1 species